UGACUCAGUUAUCGAUCGAACUGGUCAGUUGGGUCCAGUUCACAGACAUAGAUUCUAACCAAGGCCGGCCCAUACAUUCCGGAGUCCAAGUUAAUCAUUAGCCCAAGCUUCCAAAUUCCUUAAUUUCUUUGACUAGGGUUUUCCGUGUGCUAUAUAAAUAUGCGUCGGAAGCCACGGUUCCUCCCAUCCUCUUCCCGAAUCAGCGGCAGCCGAUCGUAGUGCGAGGUGGUACGUUAGUGGUCGGUCGAAGCUCACGAAGCGAUGAGGGCAAAGUGGAAGAAGAAGCGCAUGAGGAGACUGAAGAGGAAACGCCGAAAGAUGAGACAGAGAUCCAAGUAGCUCAUCGACAACAAGAACAACCAAUCUAGCUCUUCAUUGUCAUUAGUGUUAUUGGGUCUUUGAUCCUUUACCGAGGAAUGGAGAAAGCCAGAAUAGUUGUUUGUCGCCAUUUCUUUUGCUGCUGUAAGACUAUGAUGUUCGCUUUGGGACAACAAAAUUUUCUUAUUGUUCUGUAACUUAAUCAAAUUAUCAAGUGAUCGUUUCUUCUUCGA